UCGAUUGUUCUUCAGCAUUUUCUUCUCUUCAAUCUUCUCCUCACUUCUUUCUUUCGACCUUUCUACUUUGGGUAUUACAAAUUCAGAGAAAUUUGUUGCUCGAGUAGCACGCACAACUAGCUUCUCCAACUAGCUGAAUUUAGGUUCUACUUGGAAGGGUUUUAGCUGUGUUACUUAGUCUCUGAAGACAAGGGAAGACUUAAAGUUGUCAAUGAAUACGGAAAGUUGAAUUUGUCUCUAGAAAUACCUUUGAAUUGCUUGUGCUCGAACCUAAUAAGGAGCCACAAGAUGAUGUUUAGGAAAGAAGAUGAUCGACCUAUUAAAAGAAUUUAUAAUACCACCUGAAAAUGGCCUUCAAUGGCGGCAUUUAAAAUCUUGAUCAGUUACAUUAACUUUGACGUGUACCUCUACAUUUGUCCAACUGGAUUUUUUAAAUUAUUUGCAAUAAUCAAUACCAGAGAAGUUUGAAAUAUAAGAGGCAUCCUAGCUUCAACACACAUAAUGUCAUUAUUAAUUGUCUACAUGAGAUAGUUACAACGUCCAAUUUUGGUAAAAGUAACUCUUCUUGAUUUUCUUGUAUAAUAAUUUGGCUGAUGGUACAUUUGAAAACAGAGAAGUAAUUGUUUUAUAAUAAGAGGUGUAAUU